AAGGAGAUGGAGAGAAAGAUAGAAACAUCAAUUAGGUAGGGAAUCAUGGGUCAGCUGCCUCCUGCAUGCACUGGGUAUGGAGUUUGAAGCCUGGAGUGUGCCCUGACGAGGAACCUAAGCCUGCCCUCCUGGUUCAUAGUUCCUUCAAAAUUGGGCAAAAAACAUCACAAAGGUAGCAGUUAACCAGAUGCUACUACAUCCCUGCUCCCGCAUCCCCCUGGACCCUCCGACCCAGGGCCCAUAAGCCCACAUCCCAACUAAGCCCGAAGCAGCCAGAGCGGUCAACACCCAUUAUCACUAAAAGGUCGAAAUGUAAGGUCCAGGUGGAUACGGGGCGCCAAGGGAACCGCAAACACAAACUGAACAUUGGCAAGGGACUUUCCAGCUCCACCAAACAUCCCGUUUCCAGCCCAACUACAAACUGCUACAAACAUAUUUAUAGCAACCGGCAACCGGCAACUGACAACAAACCUGCCUAUAUAAUCUUCCCACUCCCCCUAUUGUGUGUGACUCCCCCGGCCUGUGCUUGCAGACCGCGGGACCUCUCCGGAGAGCAUCUGCCUCUUGAAUAAACAGUGCACUCUGCUUUUAA